rnacentral:rRNA from 1 species
GAUGAACGCUGGCGGCGUGCCUAAUACAUGCAAGUCGAGCGAACAGAUAAGGAGCUUGCUCCUUUGACGUUAGCGGCGGACGGGUGAGUAACACGUGGGUAACCUACCUAUAAGACUGGAAUAACUCCGGGAAACCGGGGCUAAUGCCGGAUAACAUUUAGAACCGCAUGGCUCUAAAGUGAAAGAUGGUUUUGCUAUCACUUAUAGAUGGACCCGCGCCGCAUUAGCUAGUUGGUAAGGUAACGGCUUACCAAGGCAACGAUACGUAGCCGACCUGAGAGGGUGAUCGGCCACACUGGAACUGAGACACGGUCCAGACUCCUACGGGAGGCAGCAGUAGGGAAUCUUCCGCAAUGGGCGAAAGCCUGACGGAGCAACGCCGCGUGAGUGAUGAAGGUCUUCGGAUCGUAAAACUCUGUUAUUAGGGAAGAACAAAUGUGUAAGUAACUGUGCACGUCUUGACGGUACCUAAUCAGAAAGCCACGGCUAACUACGUG